rnacentral:rRNA from 1 species
AUUGAACGCUGGCGGAAUGCUUUACACAUGCAAGUCGAACGGCAGCACGGACUUCGGUCAGGUGGCGAGUGGCGAACGGGUGAGUAAUGUAUCGGAACGUGCCCAGUCGUGGGGGAUAACGUAGUGAAAAUUACGCUAAUACCGCAUACGAUCUAUGGAUGAAAGCGGGGGAUCGCAAGACCUCGCGCGAUUGGAGCGGCCGAUAUCAGAUUAGGUAGUUGGUGGGGUAAAGGCCCACCAAGCCAACGAUCUGUAGCUGGUCGGAGAGGACGACCAGCCACACUGGAACUGAAACACGGUCCAGACUCCUACGGGAGGCAGCAUUGGGGAAUUUUGGACAAUGGGCGAAAGCCUGAUCCAGCCAUUCCGCGUGUAGGAUGAAGGCCCUCGAGUUGUAAACUGCUUUUGUACAGAACGAAAAGGUUUCUACUAAUACUAGGAGCUCAUGACGGUACUGUAAGAAUAAGCACCGGCUAACUACGUGCCAGCCGCCGCGGUAA